UAAAAUCCCAAUUCCCAACAGUCCACGGUGUUCUUCCAAAGACCAUCUCUCUCUGAUCUGACCACCACCGACUCCGACGAGCUCCGGUCCCGCGCGCCGGCGACCAUGGAGUUCGUCGACCCCUGGGACACCCAGUCCCGCGCUCGCGUCGUCCAUUCCGGCGCCCACUCCACCCCCUCACCCUCCUCCACCACGGCCGGAGCGCCCCCCUCCCUCCCCCACGCCGCAUCUUGCGCCGCCGCGGCCGUCGCGCUCCUCGCCGCCGCUUACUACUUCCCGCCGGCCUACCAGAUCCUCUCCUCCCUCCUCGUGUGGGCCGCGUCCUCCCUCCUCCUCGCCCCCUUCGCGCCCUCCUCGGCCACCGGCGGCGACAUCUCCGUCGGCCGAGGCCGCCUCCUCCCCGCUCAGGAACCGGCCGAGGACCCGGUCCCGGACCCCGCACCCGCUCCCCGCCGCGCUCGUCGGCAGAACCCGGCCCCGACGCCCGCGAAGCCCUCAGAUCCGAUCGCGGCUCCCGUCCAGCCGGUUGCGUCGCUGCAGCCGCUGCAGAAGGCGGCGGCUGCGUGUGGGGCCGGCGUGGAUGGCAGCGAGAGGAAGGAGGACGCCGGCGAGUGGACCGACCAAGAGCUGGAGCUCCUCCGGCGGCAGAUGGUGAAGCACCCGGCGGGGGAGCCCCAGCGGUGGGAGAAGAUCGCGGCGGUGUUCGGCGGCCGCCGCACGCCGGAGAGCGUCAUCCGCGCGGCAAAGUCGGGCGCCGCCGCGGCGGGCGGGGGCUCGUUCGAGCAGUUCUUGCGCAAGCGGAAGCCGCUCGAUCCGAGGGCCGAGGCUGCCGACGCCAGUGACAAUGCCGGUGGUGGAGAGAGUGCGGAUGCUGCUUGGAGUGCCGGGGAUGACCGCGCCCUGCUGAACGCGCUCAAGGAGUUCCCCAAGGACACUGCGAUGAGGUGGGAGAAGGUGGCGGCUGCUGUGCCCGGGAAGACGAAGGCCGCGUGCAUGAAGAGGAUCACUGAGCUCAAGCGAGACUUCCGCAGCACCAAGGCAGCAUCGCAGGACAAUGCGCUUGCUUGAGAAUUUUGUGAGGUUUUCCUUAUAAACCGGGUCAAUUCUAUUCUUCUUAAGUGAACUGCAGGAGCUCCCUGCCCUUUUUGAAGGUUCUUCGAAAAAAAAAUUGGAAAGACUCUUGGAGAUGCUCUGAGGUGUCAGGCACUCAGGCUGAAUGGCAUGCAUUGGCUAGUGUGGACAAAAGUUACAUGGCUAGCUCCACUGAAUCAUGGAGAUGCCAGAUGAAUGACUGAGAAUGCAUAAUAUUAGAACAUACCAUAUAAUUUUCCAAUUGUAACGAGAAUCAGGGAAGCCCUUUGAGAUAGAUGAGACCUACUACUGGACAAUGGAAACAAACAGAUGGACAGGCAACAAACAGGCCACUGCAUGAUUUAUUCUAUUUCAUUUUUGGGAAAUUUAUUUGCAGGAUGCCAAAAGAAUGUGGAUUUGGCUAGGACACCAUUGUGUUUAAUUUUGGCUGUUCUGCAAUGUUUGUCCAUAGCAUAUUAUGUGCAUAGACCAAGUAAUUAUUAUUUGUUUCGAGGAACAAUCAGUGUGAAAUAACUAUUUAUUGAUGCUUUCCCUGGCCCAUGGACAAAUACAUGCUCCUUU